GGAGGAUCCGAGCGUUAUCCGGAUUUAUUGGGUUUAAAGGGAGCGUAGGUGGACUGGUGAGUCAGUUGUGAAAGUUUGCGGCUCAACCGUAAAAUUGCAGUUGAUACUGUCAGUCUUGAGUACAGUAGAGGUGGGCGGAAUUCGUGGUGUAGCGGUGAAAUGCUUAGAAAUCACGAAGAACUCCGAUUGCGAAGGCAGCUCACUGGACUGCAACUGACACUGAUGCUCGAAAGUGUGGGUAUCAAACAGGAUUAGAUACCCUGGUAGUCCACACAGUAAACGAUGAAUACUCGCUGUUUGCGAUAUACAGUAAGCGGCCAAGCGGAAGCAUUAAGUAUUCCACCUGGGGAGUACGCCGGCAACGGUG
rnacentral:rRNA from 1 species